AACGAACGCUGGCGGCAGGCCUAACACAUGCAAGUCGAGCGGACGUAGCAAUACGUCAGCGGCGCACGGGUGAGUAACGCGUGGGAACCUGGCCUUUGGUUCGGAACAACCCUGGGAAACUAGGGCUAAUACCGGAUAAGCCCCGUAAGGGGGAAAGAUUUAUCGCCGAAGGAGGGGCCCGCGUCCGAUUAGCUAGUUGGUGGGGUAAUGGCCUACCAAGGCUUCGAUCGGUAGCCGGUCUGAGAGGACGAUCGGCCACACUGGGACUGAGACACGGCCCAGACUCCUACGGGAGGCAGCAGUGGGGAAUAUUGGACAAUGGGGGAAACCCUGAUUCAGCCAUGCCGCGUGGGUGAUGAAGGCCU
rnacentral:rRNA from 1 species